rnacentral:rRNA from 1 species
UACAGAGGGGGCAAGCGUUGUUCGGAAUUACUGGGCGUAAAGGGCGCGUAGGCGGCCCGCUAAGUCGAACGUGAAAUCCCUGGGCUCAACCCAGGAACUGCGUCCGAUACUGGCAGGCUUGAGUCCGGGAGAGGGAUGCGGAAUUCCAGGUGUAGCGGUGAAAUGCGUAGAUAUCUGGAGGAACACCGGUGGCGAAGGCGGCAUCCUGGACCGGCAUUGACGCUGAGGCGCGAAAGCCAGGGGAGCAAACGGG